CGGUAGUGGGACCCGACCCUGUCUCCAGUGGGCGUCUUGGGCCCCGGCUCUAUUCUGGGCUGCGGGCCUGGGAAGGGCUCGCCGGGUGCCAAAUGAGCUGUCCUAACUCUGCGGGGCUGCAGCUUCCUGCAUGAUGCUGGGGAGCUUGGCGCCUGACCCAGGAUCUAGAAGGCACUCUGGGCAGGCCGCGCUCCGCCCACGAAGGUACCCAACCCUCUGGGAUAGAUGCAGGAAGCGAUGGUUAAGACCCAUUUUCACCCAACUUCUCGCCGCAGGUCUGGCUUACCACACGCUCCUCCCCAUUCCCAGUGAGCCGCUUUUUGCAGCACCAGGCGAACACUUACACCAGUGCUUUGUAAAGGAAUCUUAUUGUCCACCCCGUGUCUUGGCAAAAGAACAGUGAUCACACAGAUUCCUACUUGGGCUCUUUCCUUUAAUCUUCGGAGGCUGAGUUUGCCCAACUCAGGUUUAACCACCAAGGACUCUGAGAGCUGGCAGGUCUGAGUAACCCUGGUAACAAUUCUCUUCACCUUAUCAAAACCUGAGCUAAAACCAAUGCAUCAGCUGAUGAUGACAGCAGAGAGUGGCAGGGCUGAGGACCCAAAGUCAUUUCCCAGGCUGGCGGAGACAGGGUGUCUGCUGCACUUCUGAUCCAGUGAGACGCCCAUUGCCACUCCCAACUGGGCUAGAGGCUCGCCAUUGUUCCUGCACGGCUAAGUGCCCAGAUAAACUGCCAGGGAGAAGAAUGAGAAGACAGGAGACAAACUGUUUGGAAAGCUAAAUCUUCCCUCUUAAUGAAUAAAGGUUUUUGCCUUGUC
rnacentral:lncRNA from 1 species